UACGGGGGGAGCAAGCGUUGUUCGGAUUUACUGGGCGUAAAGGGCGCGUAGGCGGCCACCGCAAGUCGAUUGUGAAAUCUCCGGGCUUAACCCGGAAAGGUCAACCGAUACUGCGGGGCUAAAGUGCAGAAGGGGCAACUGGAAUUCUCGGUGUAGCGGUGAAAUGCGUAGAUAUCGAGAGGAACACCUGCGGCGAAGGCGGGUUGCUGGGCCGACACUGACGCUGAUGCGCGAAAGCCAGGGGAGCGAACGGG
rnacentral:rRNA from 1 species